rnacentral:rRNA from 1 species
GACGAAGGUGGCUAACGUUAUUCGGUGUCACUGGGCUUAAAGGGUGUGUAGGCGGUUUGGUAAGCGCUUUGUGAAAUACCUCAGCUCAACUGAGGAAUUGCUUGGCGUACUGCCAGACUUGAGGCAAGCAGGGGUACAUGGAACUCUUGGUGGAGCGGUGGAAUGCGUAGAUAUCAAGAGGAACGCCGAUGGUGAAGACAGUGUACUGGGCUUGUUCUGACGCUGAUACACGAAAGCGUGGGGAG